ensembl:lincRNA
CUAAAAUGAAGUAUUCUUUUUUAAAGAGAUGAAAUGUUGAUGUGCUUUCAAAGUUUCCUGUAAUGAAAGCUGAUUCUUAAACUUUGUGUCUAAUUUGUUUCUGCUGAUACAUAUGAGCUCCAGGCCCUUAUAUGGCCUUUAGAGUUUGCUCAGUAACACACUUCAGAAUUUACUACCAACUUAAUAGCAUUUUUAAUUUAGUGAAGCAAAAUGGUAAUGUAAUAGUGUCCCUAAAGAAAAAACAGUGUCAUUAUUUUGUGGGUGUUAAAUUCCUCUAAUGAAAUCAAUUCCAAUUUAUGCUCCUUUUGUUAUAAUAUACAACUUUCUUUAAAGUACAAAUAUUCAGCUGCCUGUAGUAAUGGCAUUGCAUGCUUCCACUGAGUGUCCCUGCUAAUGAGAUUGAUGACUGAGAACUAAAGCCAAGAUUGGAGGGGUUGUGUGUAGGCUAAGCAUAUUUGCUUUGAAUACAGAAAACACUGCCAAAGAGAUCUUCUCUUUUUGCUUUGAAGAAUGCAGGAAAACCUUCUUUUCUGCAAUGAAUGCAAAUAACAGAAAACCAGGAACUGGGGAGAGAGCUGGUAUUACUGAAAACCAAGAAAAAAUACUGUCCAUUUCUUAAUCUGGGUCCUAUGACAAGGUUGCUGACAGAAAAGGAACUACCUCCGGCUUGGGUGCCCCGGAUUCAUAGAUGGACAAAAGAAAAAAAUUUUCCUCUAAAUGGUACACAGGAUGGACGUCCAGAGAUCAUGCAAUCUGAGGAAUAAAAAGGUCCAGAAGAAGGAUGGGGACAUGUCCAAAGCCACUCUAGCUGUUUCACACUGCUUACCAAAUCUGACAUAUUGAAGUGAAAAUAUUAAGUAUGUGUUAUUGGAAAAGUAACUUUAGUAUUUCCAGAGAAUAAUAUUAAUGAAAUGUACAAAAAUUUUGUUAGCAAAUGCAUAACAAAAUAUGUAAAACACUGUUGCUUUCAUUUUAGACAUUUUCAUGAUUAGAUUAUGACUGCUAUUUAAGACCAAAAACUGAAAGAGAGAGAAAGAGUAAGAAAAAAUAUAUUACAAUUGAUAUAGUAAUUCAAAAUGUCUUAUCAUAGCGUAUUAAAGAUUCUUGAGUAGCUCACUCUAUUUUAUCUUUUUAUUUCCAGGUCAUUUGAGACUUUUUCUAAGGAUGCACUCACAAAUUAAGAAAAUAAAAAUGUUCACUGGUUAUGGCUGAAAAAAUCUACCAUUUACAAAUAAUCCUUCCUUUUUACUAACAAUUGUUUUCAGAUAUUUAUUAAUUUUGUCUGUAAUAAAUUUACAGAAUCAUAGAUAUAUACAUAUGUAUAAAGGCAGAAGAAAAAUUCUGAACAAUUACCAACAAAAAAAUUCAUGUGGCUGAUCGAGGUAGGGGAGGUUUGAAAUCAAAGGUUAAUUUGAGGUAAUCUCUGCUCAUUAAAAGCUCAAGGUUUAGGCCAGGUGCAGUGGCUCACACUUGUAAUCCCAGCACUUUGAGAGGCCGAGGCUGGCAGAUUGCUUGAGGUAAGGAGUUCAAAACCAGCCUGGGCAAUAUGGUGAAACCUCAUCUCUACCAACAUUACAAAAAUUAGCCAGGAGUGGUGGCUCAUGCCUGCACUCCCAGAUAUUCAUGGGGCUGAGGCAAGAGAAUCGCUUGAAUCUGGGAGGAAGAGGUUGCAGUGAGCCAAGACUGUGCCACUGCACUCUCUAGCCUGGGCAACACAGCAAGACUUGUCUCAAAAAAAAAAAAAAGAAAAAGAAAAAAAAAAGAAAAGAAAAAGAAAAAGCUCAAAAUCUACUUAGACAGAAACAUAAGGAAGGUACUAUGGUAUAAUGGAAUAAAAUAAAAAGAGCUCACUCAAAUGACCUGGGGCACUUUUAAAAGAAAUGAUUUGAGCUAUGAUGUCAUCAUCCGUAA